AAAUCAAACCUCCCCAAAUCCAACAUUUCCUGCAUGUCCAAAAUGGGAGACAGGCGCCUGAGUAACCCGGGGCAAGGUAUAGUGCAAUCACGCUUUAACUUUUGUUCUGUGGGGCUUGCUAAGUUGCUGUGAAGAUAACAUUCUCUGCGAGCGCAGGUUCGGCGGGGCCCGGCUCCGUUCUCCAGCUCUUCAAGGCUGGGCAGCGUGAGUUUUGGCCCCCGCAGCACACUGGUCCUCCGAGCGAGUUUCUCCAACACGGUCGCUACGGGGAAGAGGGGCGCAGGUCCACACCGUCCUAGGCGCACACGAAUGUAAAAGGAGAAUAUUUGUUUAGGAUAUGAUGCACAAGAAAAUGCCCAGAUGUGGAGAAAAGAAAUAUAAAAUAUGACGUUUCUCCUGC
rnacentral:lncRNA from 10 species